rnacentral:lncRNA from 1 species
UGCUGUCUCAGCAUCAUCAGCUGCAGCCAAGAUAAGCUCCGGAUGAAUGCUUGACUCUGCUGUCCCGUCGAGUGCAUUAGGCAAUCCCAAUGCCCUUAGCGCAAGGUGGGCUGCCUUCUGCCCUGAUAUCAUCAUAGCUCCAAAAGUUGGUCCCUGAACAACACAAACACCUCCAAUUAGUUACUCUUCCAUUUCACUGUUAAGUUCUGAUAUAUUUGGGAUCGGUUAUAUAAAUCAUAUGCAUGAUCAUUCUACUUUAUUAAGGCAAAUUUGGAAUAAUUUAGACUAAGCAUUCUCUACAUCUCACACUCAUAUGCAGGUAGAAAUCUAAUGGUGCGCAAGUAAUUUAUAUAGGAGUGAGUCAUGACAAGUUUACUAACCAUUCUUGGUGCUCCGUCAAUUUCAGCGACUUCCAUCCCUGUGACGAUCAUUCCGGGUACAACCUCUCUGGUAAGUCUAACAAUAGCAUCCUCAGCAGCGUUCAUGUCCAAAGCUUUCAUCCCAGGAACAUGGUUGAUCAUGCCAAUGCUCUUAAGCCUCUUAACACCAGUGGCACCCAUGGGACCGUCGUGGCCACAGGAGCUGACCACAAUCUUAGCCUCCAUAACAUUGGGGUCCAUGCAAGAUUGUGUGUCGUGGUUCUGAGAAACCAAAGACCAGUUAGUGACAACACCACCAACUCUUCCGUUCUUCACAAUAAGGUCCUCUGUUGCAACAGCAUUGAAGAGCUUCACGUUUGGCCUGGCCAAAAGCUUGCUCAUGAUGGUUGAGGUGAACAAGGCAGCGUGCUUGAUGACCACGUAGUUGUCUUGCUCGUCAUAGUCUAUGCCUAGCUCGUUCAGGAAAAGAUGUGCCGGCUUCCUCACAACCAUGGCUGAGAAGAGUUGUCCACCUAGCCAGGCACCUCCACCAGGGCUCACUGAUUGCUCAAGUAUGGCCACCUACACAAACCAAGUAAAUUCACAUAAACAACUUAUAACAAGUACAAAUUGGAGAAAAUAGGUAUUGUAAUCAGCAACUAUAAUCUAAUCAAGAACACUUAGCAGUUAGAACAUUGAAUGACUUCCCUGUGAUCAUGAAUGCGUGUACCAGCCAGAGGCAGAUCUAGGAUAAAUUAGGUGUGCUCAAUUAAAUUCAUUGCUAUUUAUAUAUAUAUAUGAUAACCGGGGUGGAGUUUCAAGCCAAACGCCGAACCCAAUAGCUUUUGUUCAAACAGUGUAUUUGAAGUUUAAAAUUCAUCAAAUAUAUGUACAAAUAUUAAAUUUAGAAUCUAGUCGCUAACAUGUGAAGUCGUGUACUAAAAUCCAAAACCCAUAAGAUUGUAAUUAUUGUUCUACCUAUGUAUGCAAACCAAUUUUGAACUUACUUAACUCUAGAUCAUAAAUUGAGGAUAAGAUUAUCACAAAAGCAGUUUCACUGGUUCACAAGUAUAUAAACAACUUUUUUUUUUUAGCAGAGAAAGAGUAUUAUCUUAUUUAAACCAUAGUCUUAAGAUUAAACAUAAACUGGUAGAAGCAGAACCAAUACCAAUUACAGCACAACCCUAGAACUAGACCCACAGUAAGCAAGCAGUAACUGAUAGAUUAAAAUUAAAAACAAAGCCAAAAACGGCGACUUAAAUAUAGAUAAACUAGAUCAUCAUCAACGUCCUCACAUCUAGCAGAGUUGACCACAGUCAGCAAUCACAACAGGCUUGGAGCACCUGCCAGAUCCAGAUCCAACAGCCUCAGCCUUCUUAAUCACAUCAUAGCCUUCAACAACUUGACCGAACACAACAUGCUUGCCAUCGAGCCACUCAGUCUUAGCGGUGCAGAUAUAUAUAAACAACUUUCGCUAAUAAACAUGUGAUUUUUUCUCGCUCAAGUUGCACGAGGCCUAAGGAAAAAGGUGUCACAUGAUUUGUAGGUACGAGUAAACCUUCAAGUACCUUUAAUAAGAAGCCCGUGUUUUUUUUUCCUCUCAGCUACCAAGUCUUAUAUGAAUUUUCUUUUAUACUUUUCAAUUUAGUAGAAAUACAAGCGAAGCCGGAAAAUAAAUUCCAAGAUUUCCAUCUUUCCGCUAUUAGAAUUUAAUUGAAAAUAUCCAUUAGGCACACGUCACAGGUGCCAGUUCUUCUACACAACAAAAGCCUGAGUAUUUAAAUGAAAAAUUAUAGGGAAAGCUAAUCUGGGGCUAAAUGGUUUUGUGAGUCUUUACAAAUUUGUUUUUCAAUUUUAUGACCUUAUCUUUCUAUUUCAGUACGAGGUCUAAAAAAGAUACUUUCUUAACGUAAAGGGCUAUGAUAGCCCAUUUUCCCGCUGAUUUGAACCGUAUGUCACUUCUGUUAGUAUUUCCUUACCAUAAAAUAUUUUAAACUUAAUUGACAAAAUAAACACAAGCCAAUAUUUGAUCUUUCGUGACUUUUGUCUUUUUCUAUCACAAUACUGCCAGACACAUAUAUUAGAGCAUUCUGCAGCAGGCCUAGAUUUAUCUCAUCUUAAAUUUGGAAAAAAAUAAAUAGACACAAAUGAAAAGAAAAAGGAUACCUGAACGUUAGGGUUCUUGCUGAUCUCAUAAGCACAAGAGAGACCAGCAGAGCCAGCGCCAACGAUGACAACAUCAGUGUCAGCAUAGGUGAUCAUGUCAGUCAUGUACCUACGUGUCAUCUCGCGAGAAACGAUGGAUUCCUUAAUUGGGUUAAAACUGAAAGCGUUAAGAUCAUAAGGUGGAGGAGAGGAAUCAGCAGACAUGGAAAUGGUCAUGUUUUGCUGGGCGGAUUUAACAGGUUUUAGUCUAGCUUGUGAAAAAAGAGGGACACCAGAGAAGGAUGAUUUGUGGGUGUCCAAGAAAUUGGUCUUGGUAACAACAGAGGAGGCCAAGGUUGAUGCCAUGGUUGCCAUAGACAAAGCUUGAGAUCUUGAGAGAGGAGUUUUUUUUGAGAAUUAGAAGAAUGAAAGAUUGUUUUGAGUGAAGAAGUGAAGGGGAAGAGAGUAUUUAAAGCAGUGACAAGUAGUGAGUGAUGAGAAAAA